AUGUGAGGAGAGCAGCAAGAUGGCUCCGGAGCAGCGGAAAGUUGCUGCGGGAGCAGCGCAAUUUUUCCAAGAUCUAGCUGACAGCUUGCAGCAGUUGUCCCUUGGGGCCGAGGAGGCCUGCAACCUGCCCCUGCUUCCAGAUGAUGACGAGUGGCUAGCCACCCCGAGAGGGGAAUCACCGCAGACAUCAAGACCUGCAUCGCUGGUGAGAUUGUCCCCUCACCACAGAUCCUGGGGAUCCUGGGCGGAGAUCGCAACCAAGGAGUCGGAUGUUUUCUUCAGUUCUGCAACAAAUUCAAGAUAAAGUGCCUGGCAGGACUAUGCCACAAAGUUCUCCUGUUUGCAACGUAACCACCUUCAUAAGUUUGUGCCCGGCCCCUGGCCGAGAGACUCCUUGUCUUCUAGGCAGUGACCACUUUGUUGUUUAAGAAAAUGAAGGUUUUAAGAUUCCAGAAGAAAUUGCAUAAUAUGCCGAAAGAAAGCAGUUGACUAAGGUUAUGUCUGGAGAAGGUUUUGGCUCCUGGUGGAACUGCCCUUAAUCCAAACAAAAACUUUCUCUGAGCCAGAAACUUUUUUGAAAUGUGUCUUCCACAGCUCGGCGGUGUCAGGAAAACCAUCAGCAUUGAGUCUGUGAAACAUGUAUAUUGAUGCUUGGCUUCAGUAAAUGUCAAGUCAAGGCCAAAGGCUUCGGAUCCUGCGUAUUCUACUGAUAGUACGGUAUUGGUUGCAGGAAGAAACUAUAAAUAUAAAAAACAUGAAAUUAAUGAACAAAUA